rnacentral:rRNA from 1 species
CAAUAGCGUAUAUUAAAGUUGUUGCGGUUAAAAAGCUCGUAGUUGGAUUUCUGCCGAGGACGACCGGUCCGCCCUCUGGGUGAGUAUCUGGCUCGGCCUGGGCAUCUUCUUGGAGAACGUAGCUGCACUUGACUGUGUGGUGCGGUAUCCAGGACUUUUACUUUGAGGAAAUUAGAGUGUUUCAAGCAGGCUUACGCCUUGAAUACAUUAGCAUGGAAUAAUAAGAUAGGACCUCGGUUCUAUUUUGUUGGUUUCUAGAGCUGAGGUAAUGAUUAAUAGGGAUAGUUGGGGGCAUUCGUAUUUAACUGUUAGAGGUGAAAUUCUUGGAUUUGUUAAAGACGGACUACUGCGAAAGCAUUUGCCAAGGAUGUUUUCAUUGA